rnacentral:rRNA from 1 species
AAUAUUGCGCAAUGGGCGAAAGCCUGACGCAGCGACGCCGCGUGUGGGAUGAAGGCCUUCGGGUCGUAAACUCCUGUCGAGCGGGACGAAUGCUCCCGGGGUGAAUACCCCGCGGGGUUGACGGUACCUCCAAAGGAAGCCCCGGCUAACUCCGUGCCAGCACCCGCGGUAAUA